UACGGGGGGGGCAAGCGUUGUUCGGAAUUACUGGGCGUAAAGGGCGCGUAGGCGGCCUUCUAAGUCGGACGUGAAAUCCCUCGGCUUAACCGAGGAACUGCGUCCGAUACUGAAAGGCUUGAAUCCGGGAGAGGGAUGUGGAAUUCCAGGUGUAGCGGUGAAAUGCGUAGAUAUCUGGAGGAACGCCGGUGGCGAAGGCGGCAUCCUGGACCGGCAUUGACGCUGAGGCGCGAAAGCUAGGGGAGCAAACGGG
rnacentral:rRNA from 1 species